rnacentral:lncRNA from 1 species
CUGUACCCUAUGUUGUAAGUUCUAGGUUAACUAUUUAUAAUGAAAUACGGUGCAAUAGUCCAUCUGUGGUAUAAUAAGGGAUUCAAUCAACCUAUUGGUGCAAAACAUUUAUUUAAACAGAUGACGCAAUACACCACGUUAUUUCACGUUUGAGGUUAUGUUUCAUAUAUUUCGUAUUAAAACUAUUUGGUUUUUUUUGUUUGUUUAUGGUAUUUGCUUUCAUUAGGAUUCUAUGGAUUCGUCGCUCUAUAAUACCAACCAUGCAGGGGACACAACCAGUAAAAACCGAUAUGGAGAGAAAGUAUAGCAGGUUUAGGACCUCAAAUAAAACCAGUUUUGUUCCAGAAGGAAUGACGAUAUUUCGGCCUUUAUUUAUCCUCAGGGCUAUUUCUGUGCUAAAAACCAAUUAAUUCCCAAUAAUAAAAUAAAAAGUAGUCUUUAUCAGCAGUCAUUUACGGUAGUUUACAGACCAUAAACUAGUGCAAAAUACAUUUUUUAAAUAACGCAUCUCAGCAGUAAUUUAAAAUGUUUAAUACCAAAAGUUCCAAAUAGUAACCAAAUACUGAUUCCUAAAAAUUAUGUUGAGUCAUAAAUUUUUUUAUUGAAAAAAAAAACAAAAAAUAUUUUCAUCAUUUUCCAAUUACUUAAGACCGACAAAAUAUAAUAAAGCAUAAUCCGCAAUAAAACCCCUCUUUGGAUAGACGUCAAAUAUAAUUUAUGGCUUUUAAAGGGGGAUAAGCACAAAACGAGCGAGGUCAUUGUACCAGUUAUCAAGGCAGUACACAAUGUCGCUCAUUAAGAAAUAAAAGAGAAACAACACGAUAUAUUAAACGUAAAAUUUUCGUGAUGACAUAUAAUUUAGUACGCUAUUAAAGUUCUUAUUUUAAAGAGAUAUACUGUAUGUGCUUAAUACUUUAGUUAAUUUAAAUCAAGUGCUUGAAUAUUAAACUCUUGGAUACCUAAUGCUUAAGAGAAGUCAGAAAAUGGAUCAGAAGAGUCUAAAGAAACUAAAUGAUCAGUGAACGCUUUUAAACUUUCAUGCUAUCUAAAUCUAUCAAAGAAGAAACGAGUAUCAAAAAUGAAAAAAUUGAACUAGAGGGAUAUAUGGAGCUGCUUGGAAAAUUACUUCUAUUCAACCUUCAAUCACCGAUAUUUAAUAAAUAGAGCAAAGAAAAACCUUUUAUUUAACGUAUUAGGUGACGCAAAUCCCUCGGUAAGCUGAGAAGUUGACUCUUUUACGAUAGACCACACAUGCUCGAUGGGUGGUAGAUCAAGAGAGAUUCCUGGCCAUAAAGCGUAAGUUAAGGGUUAUAAAGAAACUUGGUAGUGAGUCACGUUAAAUGAGAUCUGAUAAGCCCUUUUAGGAAUCCUUAACAUUUGAUCAAAAGUUAUGUAUAGCUUGGUGUAACAGAGUCAUUCCAGAGAAGUGAAAACAAAAAUAAAUAAUAGAUGGUAAAUAAUCACUUACCAACAUAAUUUAUGAUAUUUGAUCUUAAAAGACAAAAGCAAAAAACACACUCUUGCGUUACUCUAAAAGAAGUAUGUUAUCUUAUCAAAGCUCUUUAUAUAAAUGCUUAAAGAUGUAUUUAAUAACCUCAAUGAAAGAAAAUAAAGUGCGAGUAAAGAUAAAGUAAAAGUAAAAAGAUAAACGAGUAAAAGAAAUUAAAAAAGACCUAAAGCUGAAAACAUGAAAAGUAGGACUAAAAAUAAAUAUAAUCAAAACAAAAUAAAUGAGCAACAAAAAUAAAGACACAUAGGACAAAGAUCCCUGGACGAGGCUUUUUUUUAUCUGAAGUUGAAUUCCCAUAAAUAUAUUUACCAAAAUAUUACAGCAAAUGUUAAAGCCUAAAAGUAAGUGAAGUCUUGAAUUCUUUAUUGUAUCGUAAUCAACACUGGGUCCUAAGUAUUCAGAGUUCUAUGGGUACUAGGAGUUCUUAAAUAAAAUAUAAAAUAUGUAGAAAUCUGCUUUGGCUAAUGACCAAAAAUUAAUAUAUCUCAACUGGAUUUCUAACAUCGAUAGUUGGCAAAGCAUUAUCACCACUAGCAGUAUCAUCUUCAUCAUAAUCAUUAUCUUCUUAUAAAAAAUGGUCGGAUAUCAAUUUCCAUUGCUUAUCCAUAUAUUCUUAAAUAGCUUGACGAAAACCGCUAGAUAAAUUAAACAUUUUCCUCGCAUAUGAACGAAACUUAAAAUACUUGUAAACUGUAUAAUUUAAAGCAACUUUCUUGGUAACUUCAUUUGUUAAAUUUUGCUUCUCGUUGAUAUAUCCAAGUUUCGCGAAAGUUUCACAUGUACAGUUUCAAACUUGCUGUAAUGUGAUAUGGAAACUUUAAAGUUAUGAUGUUGCCUUGCAAACUGUGAGAUUUUUAUUACAAACUUUUAUGAAUAUUAAAUGUCAGUCAGUUUUUUUUUAAUUAAAAGCCACAAUCUUCUAAUUUACAUCAUUUUCUUUGUGCUUUAGUUUCCUUUAGUAAAGACCUCGACAAUUAAAAGCCAUUAUUCUCUUAGAGCUGACACCAAAUUAACACUUUAAUUAAGAAUUUUGGGUCAGUAUUUACCGUGUUUUAUGAAAAUGAGCAGAGGUGAAGUUUUAGUAAUGAACAAUAUUUUAGGAUUAAAAUCUGGUGUAUUUAUGUUGUAUAUUAGUGCCUUUUUAAUUAAUUUUGAAAUUGUGCACUGAUAUACUUUAAUUAAUUAUGUUUCAUUGGUAAAAAUGUAAAAAAGAUUUUAGAAUUAAACGAUUUAAAAUAAAAAUUAAGUACCUGAGCACGUAGAUAAAAGAGAGAUUGGAAAAGUGACAUAAUAAAUAAAAACAUAAAAAAAAUUAAAAUGAAAAAGUAAUAAAUAUUACAGUAUCCUUUUUUUUAUUCAAAAGCCAACCAGACGAACCAGAAGAUCCUCUAAAGCACUUACAAACAAAAUAAUAAAAAUAUUAAUAUUUUAUCAGAACUAGUCUACUACCUCUACUUAAAUUAAUUUUAAAUUAAACUAAGGACAGCAUAGUUUGAAACUUUAUUGGCCAAUUUUAUCCAGUAAUAAUCACAAUUUCAGUCGGUAACCCAACAUUACUGGAAAUUGAGGGCGCGUUGCCAAACUGUCGCCUGGAAUGUGUAAUCUGGAUUGUUACCGUUAAGUACAUUGCCAAGGCUUAGUCCUUUGCUAGAUAAUAGGAAGGAACAGACAUUUGAGGCCUUAAUUAAGGAAAAAGCUAUUGUAAUCCUUUAAGAGAAAGGUAGCUUAGUAAGACUGAGCAAAUAAGUAAUGAUCAUCUGCUUCUUUCAUAUGCUAAAAUUUUUUUACUAAAACGUAUUAAAGACAGCAUUGCUCUGAUGAUUUAUUGAAGAAAUGUCUAAAGUCAUUCAUUAACAUGUAGAAGAGAACAUUUCAGUCACUUUAUAUAUAAGGCAAUGCAAAUCCACUAUUAAGUUCGAAGGUAAAUCCAGAUAUAUCGAAAUUCGGAUCACUCGGAGCAAGGAAACUCCCUGACGCGCCUGUGAAACCGGUUUAACUGAAUGCUGGGACCACCAACCCCACAGGAUCCGGCGGAGUUUCGGUUGCGCUUGCGAUUUAAGGCGUGUUCGAUUCCAUUCAGGAGUUUCGGGAUGAGAUGGAGACUGGACAGGAAAAAAAAAUUGGCCGUUGGAUGCAGGUUACGAGGGCUCUCCACGGGUUUUCGUAAAAGGCCGAGGUUCUGCAUGAAACUGAACGAACGAUUAGUCAGACUCGUUUGUCUUGCGGAAUUAUUGAGAGGGUCCUUUUUUAAUGGGAUAACGUUGAGUGUCAUUUAGAAGAGUUUUAUUGGAAGAUUGUUCUUUGUGAGUUUUGAUGCGAGGGUUUUCGGGAGACUUGAAAAUUCUUAGAAGUUUUUUGUUACUGCACUUUAAAUGUUUAAAAAAUAUUUAUCUUUAUUAAUAUAUACAUUAUCUACGUGUAUACAAUAUAUUUAUUAACAAAUUUUUCAAGUG